GUAGGUGGCAAGCGUUGUCCGGAAUUACUUGGGCGUAAAGCGCGCGCAGGCGGUUCGUUUAAGUCUGAUGUGAAAGCCCACGGGCUCAACCGUGGAGGGUCAUUGGAAACUGGAGAACUUGAGUACAGAAGAGGAAAGCGGAAUUCCACGUGUAGCGGUGAAAUGCGUAGAGAUGUGGAGGAACACCAGUGGCGAAGGCGGCUUUCUGGUCUGUAACUGACGCUGAGGCGCGAAAGCGUGGGGAGCAAACAGGAUUAGAUACCCUGGUAGUCCACGCCGUAAACGAUGAGUGCUAAGUGUUAGGGGGUUUCCGCCCCUUAGUGCUGCAGCUAACGCAUUAAGCACUCCGCCUGGGGAGUACGACCGCAAGGUUG
rnacentral:rRNA from 1 species